GUGAACAUAGACGUGGAGUUCCACAUCCGGCACAACUACCCCUGGAACAAGUUGCCGGCCAACGUGAGGCAGUCAUUAAGUGGAGAUAGCUCAUCAUGGAGGUCUUCAUCUUUGUCUUCACAUCAAGUAGGCUGAGGAGGAGGAAAUACAGGAAGUAUUGGUCUUGCUGUUCAGAGUGGCAGAGGAGAAAGAAAAUCCCAGCCGUCUUGGAAAUUCACAGAGAGAAUAUGAAAAUCAGGUUGUCCUGUACAGUAUCUGCAAUCAGUUACGAUACAGAAAUAACUUAAACAUGUCAAGAAAGAUGAACGCAGAUACUAUGAGGAACUGCUAAACUACAGCCGAGAUCAUCUCAUGCUGUACCCUUACCGUCUAUUGGAUAUUAUGGUGAAGGGCUUGAGCAUAACACCAUUUUCAUAUUACACUGGGAUUAUGGAGAAUAUUAUGAACAGUGGGCACAAUUUUACUGCUGCUGACUGUCUAAGGCUUCUUGGCAUAGGAAGAAACCAGUAUAUUGAUCUUAUGAUUCAGUGUAGAUCAUCAAAAAAAUUCUUCAGAAGGAAAACAGCCGGUGAUCUUCUACCAAUAAAGCCAGUGGAAAUUGCCAUAGAGGCAUGGUGGGUGGUGCAGGCUGGAUAUAUCACAGAAGAUGACAUCAAGAUAUGCACUUGGCCUGAGAAAUGUGCUACUGAUAAGACCGUUGAUUCAGGCCCUCAACUCUCUGGAUCACUAGAUUACAAUGUAGUACAUAGUUUGUAUAAAAAAGGAUUUAUUUAUCUGGAUGUACCAAUGUCUGAUGACAGUUGUAUAGCAGUUGCACCCCUUGAAGGUUUUGUAAUGAAUCGAGUGCUUAUUUUGAUUAUUUUGAAACUCUACUCUAUAAGAUAUUUGUUUCAGUAGAUGAGCACACAAAUGUGGCAGAGCUUGCAAAUGUCCUUGAGAUUGACUUAUCCCUGGUUAAGAAUGCUGUUUCAAUGUAUUGCUGAUUGGGCUUUGCCCAUAAGAAGGGACAAGUAAUAAAUUUGGAUCAACUUCAUUCAUCAUGGAAGAAUGUUCCAUCCAUAAACAGAUUAAAGAGUACCUUAGAUCCAUAGAAGAUGCUCUUGUCAUGGGGUGGAGGGGAAAGUAGGAGGCCUGUACAAGAAGCUUCAUCGGCAACUGACACUGAUACAAAUAGUCAAGAAGAUCCAGCUGACACAGCCAGUGUAAGAAGCCUGAGUCUGUCUGCAGGACACACGAAGCACAUCGCAUUCCUGUUUGACUCCACUCUUACUGCCUUCUUAAAGAUGGGAAAUCUUUCACCAGUUCAGAGCACUGGUGAAAGAGAAGCACAGAGAUAUUUUGAUCAUGCGCUUACUCUGAGAAACACAAUACUGUUUCUGCGUCAUAACAAAGAUCUAGUUGUGCAAACUGCACAGCCAGACCAACCCAAUUAUGGUUUUCCUCUGGAUCUCUUACGCUGUGAAAGCCUUCUUGGUCUGGACCCUGCAACUGGCAGCAGAGUUCUAAACAAAAAUUACACACUGCUUGUUUCCAUGGCUCCCCUCACCAAUGAAAUCCGGCCUGUCAGCAGCGGCACCCCUCAGCAUAUUGGACCAGCUAUCCCAGAAGUCAGCUCUGUCUGGUUUAAACAGUACAUUUACGUUUAUCAUAUCACUGGACAAGGACCACCAUCCCUUUUAUUAUCCAAAGGUACAAGACCUCGAAAACUGCCAGAUAUAUUUCAGAGUUAUGAUCGAUUGCUAAUAACAUCUUGGUGUCAUGAUCCUGGAGUAGUUCCUACCUCAAAUGUGCUCACGAUGUUGAAUGAUGCUUUAACACAUUCUGCAGUUUUAAUUCAGAGGCAUGGUCUGCAUGGGAUAGGAGAAACUGUCCAUGUCCCAUUUCCAUUUGAUGAAACAGAACUACAAGGAGAGUUCACUCGUGUCAAUAUGGGUGUUCAUAAAGCAUUGCAGAUACUAAGGAACAGAGUGGACUUACAACAUCUCUGUGGAUAUGUCACCAUGUUGAAUGCUUCCAGCCAACUUGCAAAUAGAAAACUCAGUGAUGCUUCUGAUGAGAGAGGAAAACCUGAUUUGGCUUCUGGCUCAGAUGUUAAAUGGGAGUACAGAGUCAUUUGAAAUGGUCAUUGAAGAAGCAACUAUAGAUUCAGCAACAAAGCAAACCUCUGGUGCCACAACAGAAGCAGAUUGGGUUCCUCUCGAGCUGUGCUUUGGAAUUCCACUGUUCAGUUCCGAAUUAAACCGGAAAGUUUAUAGGAAAAUUGCUACACAUGGCCUUUGCAGAAAAGAGAGCCUUCAAAACCUCUUACAUUCCAGUAGAAAACUCUCUCUGCAAGUCCUUAACUUUGUUCACUCAUUCCAGGAAGGUGCUUCAACAUUGGAUAUUCACACAGAGCCCAGUUUUUCAAGUUUGCUUUCACAGUCAUCGUAUGCUGACAUGGGUGUUCCACUUCCUGCAAAAAAUUUAAUAUUUAAAGAUGGUGUCUUAUCAGAACGGAGUGGAUGGUCACCUUCCUCACUUAUUGCUAAUCUCCAUUUGCAAUAA
rnacentral:lncRNA from 1 species